rnacentral:rRNA from 1 species
AGCGAACGCUGGCGGCAGGCCUAACACAUGCAAGUCGAACGAACCUUUCGGGGUUAGUGGCGGACGGGUGAGUAACGCGUGGGAAUAUGCCCUUCUCUACGGAAUAGUCCUGGGAAACUGGGGGUAAUACCGUAUACGCCCUUUGGGGGAAAGAUUUAUCGGGGAAGGAUUAGCCCGCGUUGGAUUAGGUAGUUGGUGGGGUAAUGGCCUACCAAGCCGACGAUCCAUAGCUGGUUUGAGAGGAUGAUCAGCCACACUGGGACUGAGACACGGCCCAGACUCCUACGGGAGGCAGCAGUGGGGAAUCUUAGACAAUGGGGGCAACCCUGAUCUAGCCAUGCCGCGUGAGUGAUGAAGGCCUUAGGGUUGUAAAGCUCUUUCAGCUGGGAAGAUAAUGACGGUACCAGCAGAAGAAGCCCCGGCUAACUCCGUG